ACCAAAGGCUAGAGCUAUUUUAUUGAAAAUUGUUUCUAAAAACGUGAGAGAUAAUUAGGAACUUUAAUAAAUGUCUGGUACAGUGGGAAUAGCUCGUCCCUCACAACGUUUCCUGUGUUCCUUAAUUCUAAGGUGUACUACUUUCCUUCUUUCAGAAAUCAGGGUAUCUGUCACUGUGUUGACAUAUUUUGCCCUACCUCGAGGUGUCACAGAGUUAAUGGUGUCAUUCUGACAUUGAGAUGGUCUAGACUUGUGGGUCUGCUGCCAGACUUACGCUGGACUUUCAGGCUCCCUUUGCACACUUCUGGACAACCUUGUCAGAGUCAACCACUUGCUGCAUGAGACUCUGAAGGUUCUGGUCUCCUCUGUUUAGUAGUAUUUUUUUGAUUCCAUUCCUAGGAACUACCAUAGCAGAAACUAAGCCUUACAAUAUUACACCCCCCCCCCCCCCAAUUAGGGCUUUUCAAUGUAGGCAGAUUUCAAUUCCUAGGUUUAUUCUCUGCUGAUCAGCUAUGAUAUCAGGUGAGUCAUCUCAUUAGCUCCCUCACUGAGUGGGAGAGAAUAUAUAUCUCAGGCUCAUGGGAUUGAAUAAGAUGAAGUGUUUAAAGUGUCCAGAACUCUAGAGCUUAUUGUUAUCUGCCUUGUUUUAUUCAGCUUAGUUACUUGCUACCUAGUAAAGUCUUGACCUUCAGUCAAGAAUUAUCUGUCCAGGAAGGAAGCUCAGAGAAAUCUGGCAUCUGCUGCUGAUGUCUUUUUCUGCUCUUGCUACAAUCCCUCUGCUCAUUCCUUUUAAACCUGUCACAUUCUUGAUGGUCUACCUCAGUUUUCCUUCAGUGUAAUCCAACAGGAACCUUAAAUCAAUCAUUCAUUGUUCUGGACUAUAAAAUAGCCUUACAUUGCUGUUGGACUUCUCCAUGUAUAUGCAUUUUAUGUUUGUCCCAAACAGAUUCAAAGCUUCUGCCCAAGUAUUUGUGUGCAGAACAUAUAUAGAACUUUGCCAAAUAAUUGCAGAAAAGACAACCAGUUCAGUCAAAAAAAAGCAAACAAAAGACUUCAACAGACCGUUUUUUUUUUUUUUUUUUUUUUUUUUUACCGUGUUCAAUAUGUCCUUUAAAUCUAGAAAGGGUGUCAUAAUCUCAUUAUCCACAAGGCAAGUGAAACUUAAGCUACAGUGUGGUUUCACUUCCUGCUCACCAGAAUGGCUAAAAUGAAGAAAGGCAGAAGUGUUGGCAGCCACACAGACCAGUUGGAGCUCUCACAUUCUGCAGGUAGGGAUGCAAGCAUGCUGGAAAGCUGUGAGUAAUCUAAACAUAAGCACACCCACUGGUCCUGCUAGUCUCCAUCCACCCCACCUCAGACUGAAUCUGUGUUUAUGGGGUAUGUAUAUUUUAGGCAUGUACGUGAUAUCCAUAGCUACAAUAGUUGUAAAGCUUCCUAUUGCUAUAGAAUUGACCUAUAAUGGAAUGACAGAGUACCAGCGGGAAUGAACAAACUACAUCUAUACUCAACUUUAUGAGUGAAUCUCUCAAACAUCCUGCUAACAUAGGAAACCAGAUACAACACAUUUGUAUUCUCUCUCUGUUAAUAGAGUUCCAAAGACAGGCUAGGCUUCCCGCUGUGCAGGUUGAGUUUGUGGAACACAGCGCUGGGGGCGGGCACUGAGGCAAGCUUUUGGGAAAGGUUUAUUUCUUCACUGGGUGGAGGAGAUCUUGCUUUGUUGCCCUCUUUUGGAUGUAAGUGUACUAAUUUUCAGUUGACCUCCCUUUAAAAAACAUCCAUUGAUGUCAGCUAGCAGAGCUUGGGGUGCUUGUGGGUACCAAAUAACUAUAUGGCUUUACCUGAUUUCCUUCCUUGUAAUGUUUUACAGAACCCCCCCACCCCCCACCCCGCACACACACAUAUGACAGUGCUUUCUGAUUGCAAACGCACUCGUGUUCUCCAGAACGGCGUUCCCUAUCACCUCCUCCGCUUGCCAGCCUCCAAACCAUGACCAAACUUACAAACGACACUGCCGUUUUGGUCUUGGUACAAAUGUGCUUGCUGUGAUUUUUCACAAAUGCCUUUAAAGAAUGUCACAACAUGUAAAUUUCGAGGAUCAGGCUUCCCAUGAAACCUCUAUGGGUCUUGUGAGACCAGUUACAAGUAAUAGUUUGAUGAAAGGCAUUGAAAGCCUGAACUGACACAUUAAAAGGAUUUAAAAAAAAAAAUCUCACCGCAAUGAGGUUGUUACCCAAACCUAUUAAAUGGAGGAGCAUGUGUGCCCGGUGACCUUGGACUGACAAGCUUGCAUUUGAGAGUUGACAGGAAUAGUUUGCAGAUGAAUGAAAUAAGAAGCAUGUGUAGUGAGGAUACUGUUGGGAUUGAUAGAAGAACGGAAACAGCGUUACAUUUCAUUUGGAAAACAAAACAAAAUAACCCCCCACCACCACCACC
rnacentral:lncRNA from 1 species